GAUGAACGCUAGCGGCAGGCUUAACACAUGCAAGUCGAGGGGUAUAGUUCUUCGGAGCUAGAGACCGGCGCACGGGUGCGUAACGCGUAUGCAAUCUACCUUUUGCAGAGGGAUAGCCCAGAGAAAUUUGGAUUAAUACCUCAUAGUAUGUGAGAAUGGCAUCAUUUUCACAUUAAAGUCACAACGGCAAAAGAUGAGCAUGCGUCCCAUUAGCUUGUUGGUAAGGUAACGGCUUACCAAGGCAACGAUGGGUAGGGGUCCUGAGAGGGAGAUCCCCCACACUGGUACUGAGACACGGACCAGACUCCUACGGGAAGCAGCAGUGAGGAAUAUUGGACAAUGGGCGCAAGCCUGAUCCAGCCAUGCCGCGUGCAGGAUGACGGUCCUAUUGAUUGUAAACUGCUUUUGUACAGGAAGAAACACUGGUUCGUGAACCAGCUUGACGGUACUGUAAGAAUAAGGAUCGGCUAACUCCGUGCCAGCCGCCGCGGUAACAC
rnacentral:rRNA from 1 species